rnacentral:rRNA from 1 species
GACGAACGCUGGCGGCGUGCUUAACACAUGCCAGUCGAACGGGUCUGCCCUGUUUUUUGCGGGGUGGGUCAGUGGCGAACGGGUGAGUAACACGUGAGUAACCUGCCCCUCACUUCUGGAUAACCGCUUGAAAGGGUGGCUAAUACGGGGUGUUCUGGCUGUGCCGCAUGGUGUGGCUGGGAAAGAUUCACUUUUGUGGUGUUUUGGUGGGGGAUGGGCUCGCGGCCUAUCAGCUUGUUGGGGGGGUGAUGGCCUGCCAAGGCUUUGACGGGUAGCCGGCCUGAGAGGGUGGGCGGUCACACUGGGACUGAGAUACGGCCCAGACUCCUGCGGGAGGCAGCAGUGGGGGGUAUUGCACAAUGGGCGGAAGCCUGAUGCAGCGACGUCGCGUGAGGGAUGGAGGCCUUCGGGUUGUGAACCUCUUUCGCCGGUGAAGAAGGUCCUGCUCUUUGUGGUGGGGUUGACGGUAGCCGGGUUAUGAAGCGCCGGCUAACUACGUG